rnacentral:rRNA from 1 species
CAGUCGUACCUUCGGGUAAUCAGCCUUUCGAGUGCGAUUCUGUGGAUUGUGAGGAGUUUAAUCACCCUCAUGUUUUACGUAUUCGUGCUCUUGGGUGUACUUGCCCGUGUGGUAGGUUAACAUCAAUUUUGGCGUCAUAAAAUGACUGGAGGAAUGUAGCUUUGGUCUCGUAUCGAAGUGUUAUAGACUCUGGUAGAUGUGACGAUUGGGAUUGGAGGAUUGCAACGGAUACCCUUCGGGGCUACUCGUCUGAUCUCU